rnacentral:tRNA from 1 species
GGCGCCAUGGCUUAGUUGGUUAAAGCGCCUGUCUAGUAAACAGGAGAUCCUGGGUUCGAAUCUCAGUGGUGAAU